CAGUGUUUGGAGCGUGGGGGCAUCCAUGAUGUAGUCAAUCAGGGGCCAGUGUUUGGAGCGUGGGGGCAUCCAUGAUGUAGUCAAUCAGGGGCCAGUGUUUGGAGCGUGGGGGCAUCCAUGAUGUAAUCAAUCAGGGGCCAGUGUUUGGAGCGUGGGGGCAUCCAUGAUGUAGUCAAUCAGGUACCAGUGUUUGGAGCGUGGGGGCAUCCAUGAUGUAGUCAAUCAGGUACCAGUGUUUGGAGCGUGGGGGCAUCCAUGAUGUAGUCAAUCAGGUACCAGUGUUUGGAGCGUGGGGGCAUCCAUGAUGUAGUCAAUCAGGUACCAGUGUUUGGAGCGUGGGGGCAUCCAUGAUGUAGCCAAUCAGGUACCAGUGUUUGGAGCGUGGGG
ensembl:lncRNA